ACAGAGUCUUCAUCAACAAAUGAUAAUUUGAUUAUUUCCUGAAGACCUCACCGUCUCUUUGGAAAUCCACAUCUCCAUUUCCAGAUGUGAAAUUGUUUGGGCACAGAAAUUUGAUGUUCUGAAAUGGAGCACAGGUGGAUGAACCAAAUAAGAAUCAUAGAAUUGGUGCAUUUGGAAAAGACCUUUAAUAUUGAGUUCAACUGUCAACCUGAGACCAUCAUGGUCAUGAAACCAUGCCCCACAGUGCUGUGUCCACACAUUUUCUGGACAUGUCUAGUGAUGGUGACUCUAUGACCUCCCUGGGCAGCCUGUUAAAUUCCUGGCUGCAUUUGAAGGAAAGAAAUUUUUUCAUGAUAUGCAGCCUAAACCCUUCCUGGUGCAACUUCAGUCCAUUUCCUUUUGUCCCUCCACUAGCUGCCUGGGAAAAGAAAUCAAUCUCCACCUCACUCCAAUCUCUUUUUAGGGUGCUGUAGAGAUCAAUGAGAUCUUGCCUCAGUCUUCUCCACACUAAACAACCUCAGUUCUCUCAGCUGCUCAUCACAACACCUGUUCUUCAGGCCUUUCAGCAGCUUUGUUGUCCUAGUUUUGAAGCACCAGCCCAUCCUGCAAGGAGAAAUCCCCUUUUAGCAACAGAAGAAAAUGCAAGCUUGUAUCCACCCCCUCCAGAUCAGAAGGAACAUUGAUUUGAGUUAACGACAUGCAUCAACUGUAAAUCUGCUUGAAUCAUUCUUUCCUGAAUUGAAAAGUAUGUUAAAAGGUAUUUUGAAGUCCUUGUUGAGUCAGAAUUGUGGAAUCAACACAAUCCCCUUGACCAGUUACUGAUUCAUCUGAAAAAUGACAUUUCCUGUCAAGAUCUGAAUCAGCUGGAAGUCCUCAUUUUCACUGAAGCUUGCACAGAAGACUCAAGCUCAUCUGCUUUUUCAUCCAAGCAUCAUGACUGUUUCAGUCUUGGCUUUGGCACCAUGUGCAGCAGCACCCUCUCUUUACCUUAGCCUCUGUUGGGUUUGUCCCUGAGAAGAUCUUUAGGUAAAAUAUUCCAAGUGAGUUCUUCCUCUUCUGCAGCAAACAACUACCUUUGAUUUUGAUGGAAGAUCUUUAAAGGCUGGAUCAAUCCAAGGUCUGUCCUAGCUCUCAGAGUGGAGAACAGCACCCUGUAUUUGUGUGUAAAUUACUAUAUUUAUGUGGUGUGGAAGCUGCAAAACAAGAUAGCUUCCUGAUCUCCCUCACCACCUCAGUUCCAUUUUGUUGAUCCUUAUUAUGGACUAUGAAGGACACACAUCAGUAUUUUUUUCUAAUAUCUAAACUAAAACUCCCCUGAGGCAACUUCAGGCCAUUUCCUUUCCUCCUUUCACUUGUUGCCUGAGAGAAGAUGCCAACACUUACCUUGCUCCAACAUUCUCUCAGGGAGUUGUAGAGAGGCAGAAGGUCUCCCCUGGCUGCCUUUCCUGCAGACUAAACAAUACCAGGGCCCUCAGCUACUUCUCACCAGACCUGUUUUCCAGACUCUUCAACAGCUUCUUUGCCCAUCUCUGGACCUGCUCCAGCACCUCAAUAUCUCUCUUGGCAUGAGGGCACAAAAACUGAACCCAGUACUCAAGACGUAGUCUCAUCAGUGCUGAAUUAAGGAGGACAAUUACUCCCCUGGUCCUGAUGGCUGUACUGUUUCUGAACCCAGCCAGGAUGCUGUUUACCUUCUUGGCCACCUAGGCACACACUGGCUCAUAUUCAGCUGGUUGCUGAUCAACAUCUCCAGCUCUUUUGUCUUCUGGGCAGUUUUCCAGCUUGGAAAGCCUGGAGCAUUUGUGGGAAAUGUAGGGAAAAAAAUCUUUGUUGGAUUCCCACAUGUCUUUUGCCAUCUCCAAUCUCCUGUUCAUACAACUGUGUAAUAACAGUGAAGAUUUUGGUGUACCCUAAGCAAACCUAUUGGCAGGUUGUGUACAGCAUGCCCUUUGACCAGGCUUUACUCUAACCAGUAAAUUGAGUGGUGUUUACAAGACUUAGAUAAUAGUUACCAUGGUACUGUUCUUGCAUGCUCCAGAUUAACAGUAACAAAAAGAAAUAAACUAGAAGAAAACAAAACAAUAACCAAACAAAAAAACCCAAACAAACAAAACGCUAAACCAAAAUAAAGCAAAGCAAACAAAAAACCACCACCAAGAGAGAAAAGCUCAGAGUGAAACUGUCAGAGCCUAGAGCUAGGAAGAGAAUUUCCAAAGCAUUCAGCACUCAUUGACUAACAACACUACAUAGCUAUAACUUGUUAUGAUGAGUGGUGAAAACCUGCCCUGAAGAGUUUUGGAAUCAGAGAUCCCAAAAGACUAAUUCAAACCCAGGUGGAAUGCCAUCUACUCAUUCAAGGAAAGAAAAUUCCUCAUAGGCAAAGCCUCAUGGAGAGAAAUUUCCAGAAUUUCAAAAAUACCACCAAAUACCAUCAAAAACUAUUCAGUAGAACUCAUUGUGAGCCUCUUAAUUCAUAAAAACAGAGAAUGGAAAGAGAGAGGAGUAUGAUAUAAGUACUCCCUUUACAGAGCAGUUUCUAAUUACUUUGAUUAUAUUUCAAUUAUUUCCUUUCUUGUAAGACAACAUUGAUUAUCUUGUCAUUUCUUGUACCACCUCUUGAUUUUUCUCUCUUCUCCUUGACUCAGUAUGAUGUAAAUUAAGGACCAUUCCUUUUGUUUUUCACUAUUCUAUCAGUAAUUGUUCUGCUUAUGCACACACGAAGGUGUUUAAGUCAAUGUCUGACUAUACAGAAGAUUUACUUCUUUUAAUAAUUAUACACAUUGUGUAUUCUUCUUAUUCUUGAAGUGCAGGGAGCUGGAAAUUCUUAUUAAUUGUAAGAUUUUACAAUUAAAAGCUGUUUACUAUAGUUCUGUUGAUUCCAUACCUUUAUUUCUCCUUCUGACUUAUGAGAUUGCAUCUCAAACACUGUGCUCGGUUUUGGCCCCCUCACUCCAAGAAGCACAUCAAGGACAUGUUCAAAGAAAAGCAGCAAAGCUGCUGAAGGGUCUGGGGAACAGAGGAACAGCUGAGGACACUGGGAUUGUUUGUUUUGGAAGAGAAGGAUGAGGGGAGACCACCUUCUUAUCCUCAACUGUCUGAAAGGAGGUUGGAGUGAGGUGUGAGUUGGUCUCUUCUUCCUAGUAUCAAGUAAUAGGAUGAGAAGAAAUGGCCUGAAGUUGUGCCAGGGAAGUUUUAGAUUGGAGAUCAGGAGAAAUUUUUCUUGCAAGAAUGGUCAGACAUUGAAACAGGCUGCCCUGGGAGGUGGUGACAUCACCAUCCCUGGAGGUGUUCAGGAAAUGUACCUGAGUGGCAUCACUCAUGGAUAUGGUGUUGGAUUGAUAGUUGGGUUAGACCUUAGAGGUCUUUUCCAACCUAAACUAUUCUGAUUCUUGUUUAAUCAUUUCCUUUUAUACCUUUAUUGACAUAUUGACAUUUUGAACUGGAUGAUCUUGGAGGAGUCUUCCCACCUGGUUGAUUCUAUGAAACUCAUUCUGUUAGUUAAGGGACAGAUAUUAUACUUGAUCUUCCAGCCUGUCUACUUGACCAGACUCUGGCAGAGGAAACAAAAAAGACUCAGACAAUACUAGUUUGGAGGAAUAACAGUAAUUAUAUGAGUGGGAGUUUGGUCAUGCAAAUUUAAGAACUGAUAUAAAAUAUUAAUCAAGUUUUAUUUUAUUUAACUAUCUCAAAAAAUAAAAAAGAGAAUUUAUUCCUUUCUUAA